rnacentral:misc_RNA from 1 species
GAUGAAGAACGCAGCGAAAUGCGAUAAGUAAUGUGAAUUGCAGAAUUCAGUGAAUCAUCGAAUCUUUGAACGCACAUUGCGCCCGCCAGUAUUCUGGCGGGCAUGCCUGUUCGAGCGUCAUUACAACCCUCAGGCCCCCGGGCCUGGCGUUGGGGAUCGGCGGAAGCCCCCUGCGGGCACAACGCCGUCCCCCAAAUACAGUGGCGGUCCCGCCGCAGCUUCCAUUGCGUAGUAGCUAACACCUCGCAACUGGAGAGCGGCGCGGCCACGCCGUAAAACACCCAACUUCUGAAUGUUGACCUCGAAUCAGGUAGGAAUACCCGCUGAGCUUAAGCAUAUCAAUAAGCGGAGGA